CAUAAUUCACAGAUUAACAGACAUCCUGCUCUCUUUCCUAAGCCUCAGUCCUUCUGCUGUCUACCCAACUGGUAGAAGCUUUUUAAAAAAAAAAUAUUUUAUUUUAAUAUUUCUUCUAUUUCUAAAUCAUAACAUGACUGUGUAAAAUGAAACACUGGCAAGCUAAGAUGGCAAUCACAACUUUUUCAUACUUGGUGCCAUCAAUUCAAACUCAUAAAAAAUUGCUCUUUAAAAAAAUUGAAGAAAAAUAUCAGGUGUGUGGCAUUUUGUCAUCUCUGCAUAUCUACAAGAAACAAAUACAUGCAACUGACCAUUACCCUUUGGAGAUGUGAGGGGUAAAUCACCUGCCAUAUAUGCAAAGCAAAAUCCAUCACCCUUAAUGAUGAGCCAGCUGUGAUCGAUGAGUCCCUCUCUGAUCCGCAACCACAGGUACAAGCUACAUUGAACUGCAACUUACUGGUAAGUAAGAUUAAUUACUGUGAACAUCCAGCAACAAGGAAUUUUUUUUUUUUUAAUGUAAUCAAUAUGAAGCUAUGCUAAAUGCCCAGUUUUCAGUGAUAUGCCUACUGAACCUUUAUAAAUGCAUCAGUCUAGUAUCCCCAACUUCUGCUAUUCCAGAAUUUGGGAUGUUUGAAACUCAGAAUCCUACCAUGUGUGAGCACAAUCUCUUAAUUACAAAUCAGCGGUAUCUGAUUUUAAAUUAAUGCAGUGUUAAACCAGUUUUCUUGCACACUGGACUGCAUAUUGUACUUAACAGGAGUAAUUUUCACUGAACUACUGAGAACUAUUAAUGACAACCCUUUCUGGGAAGGACAGACUGAAACAGCAGCUAGCAUUUCAAUGCUACAGGCACACAAACAAGGUCUUAUUUUCUGAUGAAGUUGAAGAUAUCUUUCAAAAACAAAGGGCUGUUGAGGCAAAUUUGAAUUAUCUUCUACUUACAAAGGGUAAGGUGUGCACAGGCAGCUAUUGCAGACAAGCAGAUGCAAUGUAUAUUUACAGCUUAACUUGCUCUAAAAUUCUUUCUAUGUCCAUGCUCUAAAUCAAUGUAGGAUUUUGACAGCAUAGUGUCUUAAGAAGGAAUACAUUUUUCAACUUUUCCUUAUUGGAAAAGCACUCUUUCCAUCCCCCGCCUCACUGUAUGUUGAAAACACUUCUCCAUCUUCAUCAUUGUUGAUAAGAACUUGAAAUUUGCCAUAGUAAUAUUUUCCUGUCCAACAGCUCCCCUUGCAGAAAAUGCCUGAGACAAUGCCUCAGCUUAACAGCUGGGUAAAAUCCACAUCGAUGCAGUUUGAAAGACGCAACUUUUUAAAUGAAUUAGAUUCCUAGGGUCCUUGAAUAAUUUUGUAUAGAAAAAGCUUACCAAAGCAGGCUAUAAGUUCCUUCAUCCGCUGAUUUUCCUUGGUAAAAUAAAAUAACCCAUUAUCUAAACCGGUAGUUGAUAGCCAACACAAGCCUCAGGAUAAAUGAGUCUGCUUGCAGAGAAUUCUCCAAGCUACCAAAAAGGAAAGGUCGCACACUACAGCACAAAUCACAGGCAGCUUCUGUUCUGUGAUGUUCCACUCACUAUCAAGCACAAAAUGGGAAGGUCUAACGCAGAAGAAUAGUUCUCUUCCUCAGCGCUUUCUUGCACGUUUUUGUAUGGAUACUUCAAAAACUAGCAUUGGAAGUAGGAAAAAAAAAUAGUUGCAUCUGACCAAAUCAGCUUAAAAACAACACAGAAGGAAGUGGUUAUACAACAGGAAUCUGAACUAGGAAAAUCACAAUUCAUUGUUUCCCUGUUUGAGAAACAGAAGAUAGCUGAAAGAUCGUUUUGUGUAUUUGCCUGCUCUUUACAUCAGAUACGUGUAUGAUUUAACCGCAUGCUGACAAGUACAAGGGACCAUACGAAGAAGGAUCAGCCCUAAUGUGGCCUGAAGCCAAUACACACACAUCCCAUUACACUGCAAGCAUCUGACAAUAAACUGUACUCUAAACCCAGAAGACUCCCAUGCUGAAAUGUCUACAAGGAUCAAAGAUAGAAAGAAAUAUUACAUCAACAUUUGAAGAAAAGCAAGAUGAAAAUUACGAUUUCCAAUUACCCUGCAAGGCAACAACUCCCUUUAGCUUACUCCAACGCGCCAGACCCCGAGUCUUAAACAUCCAGGCAGCUGCAAAGGCCAUGGAAAGCUUGAAUUUGAAGGAGCUCAGAGUUUCCUCAUACACUGCUACAAGUCAACGGAAAGACUGGGCUGGAACACAGGUUCAUCCAGUCAAGAUUGGAUUUUCUUCUGGAUUUUUACUGAAGAGCAUGUAGUUCUACUUUUGUCUUGACUACUAUACUAUCAAAGUGGAUGGAAGAAACAUUUAAGACAUUAAUAUCCAAACAAUGUGUCACAGACUGAGAAAAAUAGUUCAUUACUUCCAUAAAUAUCUACUAUCUUAUCUCCUGUUCUUUAAAACAUCUAGUAAAAAUGUUCUUUGUUAUGAAGUUUGUAUAAAGCCAAAAUUCAAAUGAGUAAUUAGCGUGCAUGUCUGUAUGGAUUAUGACUAUUUCUAACUUAAACACAUGAAGGGGUCCAAAUCAUCUCCUUAUUUGCUCAAACCUUGACUAUUUCAACAUGUUUCUCUGAGAGAUGAUUCAGCUUCAGGGAGGCCAUGGACAAACGCGCCUCAUGUUGAAAAAUGAUGUAAACAAAGUAAAUAAAAUGCAGGAAAACAGGCACAGGAGCAGCCUUCCACUAGGAAAAGCAGUAGUGAAAAAUAAAGAACUUUUUCAGAGAUGUUACUGGA